rnacentral:rRNA from 1 species
AUUGAACGCUGGCGGCAGGCCUAACACAUGCAAGUCGAGCGGAUGACGGGAGCUUGCUCCUUGAUUCAGCGGCGGACGGGUGAGUAAUGCCUAGGAAUCUGCCUGGUAGUGGGGGACAACGUUUCGAAAGGAACGCUAAUACCGCAUACGUCCUACGGGAGAAAGCAGGGGACCUUCGGGCCUUGCGCUAUCAGAUGAGCCUAGGUCGGAUUAGCUAGUUGGUGAGGUAAUGGCUCACCAAGGCGACGAUCCGUAACUGGUCUGAGAGGAUGAUAGGUCACACUGGAACUGAGACACGGUCCAGAGUCCUACGGGAGGCAGCAGUGGGGAAUAUUGGACAAUGGGCGAAAGCCUGAUCCAGCCAUGCCGCGUGUGUGAAGAAGGUCUUCGGAUUGUAAAGCACUUUAAGUUGGGAGGAAGGGUUGUAGAUUAAUACUCUGCAAUUUUGACGUUACCGACAGAAUAAGCACCGGCUAACUCUGUGCCAGCAGCCGCCGUAAUAC